AAUAGAUACCCCGGGUAGUCCACGCCGUAAACGAUGAGUGCUAAGUGUUAGAGGGUUUCCGCCCGUUUAGUGCUGAAGUUAACGCAUUAAGCACUCCGCCUGGGGGAGUACGGCCGCAAGGCUGAAACUCAAAGGAAUUGACGGGGGGCCCGCACAAGCGGUGGAGCAUGUGGUUUAAUUCGAAGCAACGCGAAGAACCUUACCAGGUCUUGACAUCCUCUGACAACCCUAGAGAUAGGGCUUCUCCUUCGGGAGCAAAGUGACAGGUGGUGCAUGGUUGUCGUCAGCUCGUGUCGUGAGAUGUUGGGUUAAGUCCCGCAACGAGCGCAACCCUUGAUCUUAGUUGCCAUCAUUAAGUUGGGCACUCUAAGGUGACUGCCGGUGACAAACCGGAGGAAGGUGGGGAUGACGUACAAAUCAUCAUGCCCCUUAUGACCGUGGGCUACACACGUGCUACAAUGGACGGUACAAAGAGCUGCAACGACCGCGGAGGUGGAGACUAAUCUCAACUAAAACCGUUCUCUAGUUCGGUAGUUGUAGGCUGCUAACUCCG
rnacentral:rRNA from 1 species